AUGGCCUUUAUGGAAAGGAAGGAGAUUUAGGUAGAAUGAUCGGUGUUAAAUAAAGCGGGCAAACAAAACACACACACUCCCCUAAAUGGUGCUCUGGCAGGACAGAUAUUUACAUCUUGUUUUCCGUUUUUAGAGAAAAAUAAAAC